rnacentral:tRNA from 1 species
CGGGACGUAGCGCAGACUGGUUAGCGCACUUGCAUGGGGUGCAAGGGGUCGCAGGUUCAAAUCCUGUCGUCCCGA